rnacentral:tRNA from 1 species
GAGAAAGGCUUCAUAGCAACGGAGACUGCUAAUCUACGACACCCUGGUUAAAAUCCAGGGCUUACUCG